ensembl:lncRNA
UAUCAGCUUGCGAACAUUUGGACAUCUUUAUGAAGGUCAGGAUUUACACACGAAUCGUCUCUGAAUAUCACAAAUUCUUUCCUGCCUUCUCAUUUCUGGGAAAGCAGAUGUAAAGCCUAAGGGAUGAACAAUACAGGGAAAUGAACCGUUUCGAAGAAUCACAAGGCAACAAAUUCAACAGGAGGAACAGGAGAGAGGGGGCAUUGAGGAGUCGUUUCAAGAGGACCAGUAGCCGCUGCUUGCUGUUUUCCUGCAGCUUUUCCAGUGCCAAGUCUGAAUUUGACUGCUGUAAAGAAUGAUAUGGUUUAAUGAAAACGCCUGGAUGGAUUUCCCCCUUCCCAAGCCUACUCGAUGGGUGGAUAAUCAGGCUGGCCCUGCCUGAGCAGCGGAGCAGAAACUUCACAGCUGAAGCUUCAGCUGAAGGUGGGCCUCGGGGCCUGCAGAGACAGCAGCGUCUCCAUGCCAGAAAUUCAGGACUCAAAUUGAGAAGGCCUAGAGAAACCUUCUUUCACUAGAAUGCCUUUGUGUGGAAAGCUGGAGCAGAAGACCACUUCUGCAGAACCAUUCUGUAGCUUUAUCUGUGAGUCUCUAAAAUCCUUCUCUCUUCCUGG